UACGGGGGGGGCGAGCGUUGUUCGGAAUUACUGGGCGUAAAGGGUUUGUAGGUGGUCUGCUAAGUCAGACGUGAAAUCCCUCAGCUUAACUGGUGAACUGCGUCUGAUACUGGCGGACUUGAGGACAGGAGAGGAACGCGGAAUUCCAGGUGUAGCGGUGAAAUGCGUAGAUAUCUGGAGGAACACCGGUGGCGAAGGCGGCGUUCUGGACUGUUUCUGACACUGAAAAACGAAAGCCAGGGGAGCAAACGGG
rnacentral:rRNA from 1 species